CCAUUUCAUUCACUUCACAUAUCAUAGCAAUGAUAUCCAGCAACCAAAUUCUUCAACAAAACCCAAUUACCAAUAUAAGAAAAAACAAACCAAGUUAAAAAGCAGAAUAAGCGAAAUGCUUUGUUACCAUCAUUCCAGAGGUAUGUGAUGCUAUAUGGAAAACUUUAAAAGAUAUUCAUAUGCCAGUUCCAACUAGAGAACAUUGGGAGAAGAUUGCACAAAAAUAUUUUGACCUGGCUCAUUAGAUGGUAAGCACUUUAUAUCAAAAGUUAGAAAAACCAAUAUCAAACACCUUAAAAAACUAUGAAACCUUAUCCUAUGAAAAAUACCAGUCCAGAAGCAAAACAUUAUAAGUUAAGAUUCCUAGUUCUCAACUACCAAAAUUAUUAUGGUCUUUGGCAGGUUUAAGAAAAUUUUCCCAAGUGCGUGGACCUGGCUUGGAAAUUUUUUAAUAUUAGGCAUAGGUGUAAUAUUUAACACAGAAUAUUUAUAUGGCCCUCAGGUAAAGCAUUAUAGGUAAACCGAAUGUUAAAGACUCAAUUUGGC